ACCUUUCCCGUGAGGGAAAGCUGAGCAUGCAGAAGUCAGCAGAUGUCAUAGUACUGAUCAGUCAGAUCAGGAAGGAC
rnacentral:ncRNA from 1 species